rnacentral:lncRNA from 10 species
CCAGGAUCAACCAUUGUGGAUGAAUGGGCAUCCAAUGAUAUUAUCAUCACCACAAUGGCUGUGAGUUACCAGACACUUACCGUAACCCAGGUACUUGCUAAGGUGUUAAGUACAUACUUCAGUUAUCUUCAAAAUACCCAGAGAAUAUGGAAAUAAGUAUAACCAAGAUAUUCUGAUUUGUCAUUUUGGGUAACAAAAUAAGGACACUUCUCUUUUAAUAUUCAAACUGAUAUUUCAGAGUUCUCCUGAAGAUCCCACCCUUUUGCGAUGAGUUCCACAGCCCACUCACUCCCAGGGGUCAGUCCUCACAGAGAAGGGUUGCUUGCUGCUGUCCCUCCCAUGCAGGAUCACCACUGAAAGUGUUCUGUCCUGCCUGGUCGGACCCUUCCCCGUCUUUGAUGGCUGAUUCCUGGAGUGCAGCCAGCUCUGUAGGCAGUCACUUUAUGGAUCUCUCUCCUCACUGUCAUGCUCACCUAAGUAGCCAGAUGCUACUAUAGACUAGACUCCUGGUGUUUGCUUACAUAAACAUACAUGAACAUGCAUGUAUGUACAUACCUUUCUAUUUUGCCAAGAAAAUUGAAGUAAGAACAUCUUCAGACUCUCUCAUCACUUCAGUUACCCACCUACCUGCAUCAGUGCCAUGACCUCUGCCUUCCUGGCUAUUACUAUAGAUGAACUGCCUCCGUUUUCAUAAAGUUAAUCUUCCCUUUCCACUUGUGCCUGAGACCCUGCUCUGCCCAUCAAUUCAAGAACUCAGCAAUGGUUCCUCCUCCCUACAUCAGCAUACUUUCUUCUUUACUGGAUCACUCUCCAUAACAUACAAAUAUUAUGAAAAUAAUAUGUUCUAACAAAUAUUAUAAAUAUAAUUUCUCAGCUAAAAAAAGUUGCUUUUCUCUCUUGAUCCAUAUCCCCCUUCAACUGCUACCCCAUUUUUCUCAUUGAUUCCUCUCCGUCCAUUUUCUUUUGAACCUUCCAAUCAGGUUUAUACCCCCUCCACUGAAUUUUGAGCUUGCCAACGCCCUCCAUGUUGCUAAGUUUCGCUCAGUUCUCAGGUUGCAUCUUCCUUGACAUAUCAGGAGUAUUCAAUGAAGAGCAUUUUUUUUUUUUUUUUUUGAGACAGGGUCUUGCUCUGUCACCUAGGCUGAAGUGCAGUGGCGCGAUCUCAGCUCACUGAAACCUUCGCCUCCCAGGUUCAAGAGAUUCUCAUGUCUCAGCCUCCCCAGUAGCUGGGAUUACAGGUACCCACCACCACACCAGGCUAAUUUUUGUAUUUUUAGUAGAAACGGGGUUUCACCAUGUUGGCCAGGCUGGUCUCGAACUCCUGAAUUCAGAUGAUCCUCCUGCCUCAUCCUCCCAAAGUGCUGGGAUUACAGGCGUGAGCCACUGCAACAAAGAAGUUUAAUAGGAUUACAAUGUUUUCAAUGCAAGGUUGGCUUAAGAGUUACAAUGAACUAACUAGUUAGUUACAGUAUGGUUUCCCUCACUAUGGCCUGUUUUCUUUCUUUUUUUUUUUUUUUACAUCUAGUUUUCAUUUUCUUUCCAACUCAAAAGGGUAUAUUUAACAUUCCAUCUUAAAAUGUGGUAGCUAUGAAGUCUUUGUGUGAGAAAGGUAAGAGGGAGAUUGAUAAUGAAAGUCAACCAAAAAAAAAAAAAAAAAAAAAGGAAGAAAGAAAGGAAAAGAAAAGAAAGUCAACAGUAAGAGAAAAGGGGUCUUCCCUGGCACCCUUCAGCCAUUUACAGCAUUUUACAAAACAAUGUAGGCAAGGAAGAAGGCUUAAUCCAUAAUCAGAGAAAAUAAAGUUUGCAACUGCCUAGGUUAUAGCUGCCUGUCAUGGGACUCAGGCUUUUAAUCAUUCUUUAAAGCUCACAAUAAUUUAUUCUUCCAACAGCUUAGAUUUUGAAUUUCUUGUUUUCUCAGGACUGGGGUCUGGGAAGGGCUGUGUGCACUGAACAACUCCACAGGAAGGGGCUCUCUUUUCAUCAUCAACCAUGAGAAUGGCACCCCCUGGAAUGCUGCAAUAUAGAGGCCUUAUAUUGAGCUCUCUGCUGAUUUCAGCCAUUAGGAUCAUCAAACACUCUUUACCUACCCAGAGUCUAACACCCACCAAGCAACCUCUGGUGACCAUUUGGCUUUCCAUGUGCUUGUCUCACCUGUCAAUCUUUGUGAGCUUGGCUAUGUGAGAUGAUCUGUAGAGACUGAUCACUUCUGGGUACACAAGCAAUGAAUUUCAGGCCUAGGAAAUGAAGCACCAGAUGGAGAUGUGAUGCCCUCCCAAAAGUCUUGCCCCCUUUACACCCUUUCCCUGGGUGACUUUUCUCAGUUGGAAUUGCUUGCCUCCUUCAAACUGACAACAGAUUCAAGGGUUCCUGCAGGAAAAUCUCCCAAGUUUGAUGCUGUUAGAUAAUACAUCAGCGGUCAGGGAGUCCUCAUCAAGUUGAGUCCAGCACUGGCAUGGUGUGGAGAAAUGGGGAUGGGUGGCACAGAGGAAAGAGGGGACAUCUCCCUGCCCUCCGGGAGCUCCAGCAGGGAAGGCAUUGCUCCUGGCAGACCAGGAGUCACAUGUCAGCCUCUUGGGAGGAGAUGGGGGUGGGAGGAGAGGAUAAUAAAGGCAGAGAAUAUUAUUUGUGAUAAAUGAGAUAGUAAGAGUUACCAUGCCUUGAAUGCUUAUUAUAUGUCACAGACACUAAAUGCUCUAUGUGAAUUUUUCAUUUGAUGUUCAGAACAACACUGUUUUUCAGGUAAGUAAAUAAGGUCCUGAGAGGCUGAGUAAUGUGCCCAAGAUCACACAGUAAGUAAGGGAGGGAGAAGAACUUGAAACCCAAGCAUACUUAGUACCUCUCAGAGAUGGAGAAAGUCUCAGAACACCUACUAUUCUCCUCUUUGUAUAAAACAACACUUUGUGCCAUCUGAAGGUAUGAGGAAUGUUGUGAAGAGGAUUGGAAAUUGGUGCUAGGAUUUUCCACAUCUUUUCUGAUUUAAUUAGUUAUGAAAUUAGCUUUCUCAAGAUACCAAAGCCCCCUCCCCCUUUCCACACUCCACUGCAAACACAUACCCUGCUUUUCCCACUAUCCAUUGGGUGUAGGAAGAGCUUGCUGGAAUUUCUAGGAAUGUGACACCCUAGGUCAGGACUCACCCUGAGACACUGCAGAUGAUCGGGGUACCCUGGGAUGCUCUGAAUGACAGACUGAAACACUUGCUCAAAGGGCUGCAGUACAAAGUCAUUUCUUUUUUUUCUUUUCUUUUCUUUUCUUUCUUUUUCUUUCUUUUUUUUUUUUUUUUUUUUGAGACAAGUUCUCACUCUCUUGCCCAGGCUCAAGUGAUUCUCCCACCUCAGCCUCCCAAGUAGCUGGGACCACAGGUGCACACCACCACACCCAGCUAAUUUUUUGGAUUUUUUUUUUGUAGAGACAGGGUUUCACCAUGUUGCCCAGGCUCAUCUUGAACUUCUGGGUUCAAGCAAUCCUCCUGUCUGGGCCUCCCAAAGUCCUGGGAUUACAGGUGUGAGCUAAUGCACCUGGCCUAAAGUCAUUUCUUGGAGUUAAGGCCCCGGUUCUCAACCUAGGCAAGAGUCAGGGUGGGAAUGGAGGGGAUGUUGCCGGUGUCCACUGAAGAAUGACAAGGUUCAUAAAUUUGGAAAGCAGAGCUUUGUUUCUUAUAAAGAGCUGCAGCAUGCAGGGUGGCCAUUCUGAUGGGCUGGGAACUGUAGCCUCUGGCCAGAAGCCAGAAACAGGCACUUUAAGGGAGGGGUAAAGGGAGCAGAAAUUUAUGCUGAGCAGGGUGGUUGAAUAUACAUAUUUAAUAAGCUACAAGAGGAGUGAUGAACAUUUAUGAAUGGAGAAACCUACACAUGCAUAACUGAGCUUCAUGCCCCUUCAUGGGUCACAUGUACAAAAAACAGUAGGGUUAGCAUGAUCUCAGGGUGGAGUUUUCCACUUUCUGAUGUCAAAAGGUGAAGCAGAGGACACGAAAACCCUGUCUGCAGCGUCCAUAGAUGGCCAACACCACUUUGUGGUUAGUGGUCUCUUAUCAGGAAGGAAUUCUGGCCCAUUGCGUGGAAACUGCAAAAGAGAGGGCAGUCAUGUGGCUGGUUGAAAUCAGCAGUGGAGUGAGUCUUUCAAAAGGGCUGGUUUCUGUUGAACCCUUAGGGAAGAAAGCCUAAUGGCAGUAGUGAGGGAGGGGGUAUAACGAGGCGUGUCCAGCCCCCCAUGCUGCCAUGGCCAGGAACUCAGUUUUCAAGGUUUCUCUGCCAUCUCCUUGGCCAAGAGGGGGUUCGUUCAUUCGGUUGGGGGACUGAGGAUUUUAUUUUUAUUUCCCACCAGAUAGAUACUUUCAGUAUUCCAUAAAGCCUAAAUGAAAUCUUAACAUUCCCCAGGAUGAGGCUGUCCUGCGAACUGAAGCCCCAGCCUCUUUACUUUGAGCUGGAAUUACAUCACCUGUGUAACAACCUUGUUCAUUUCAUACUCACCUGAAGCUGGCUUGGUGACUAGAAUGGCUUCUAGGUAAGGAAAACUUGGAAGCAAAUUGAUUAUUAGAAAAAAAUCCAGUUUGCCUUCUAGAUAAAAUCUUCCCAGGUGUCCUUGGUGGGAAAAGGCUGGGAAUGGUGCUCAGGGCAGUGACCUGCAGAUCCCUAGGUGGAGAAUAGCACCCCCAUCCCACCCUCCUUCCUUCUUCCCCAUCUGCCCUCACUGCCUCCCUGCAACUGAACAGAACCAGCUACCAGGCAUCCUUGGCCAGUGUCCAGAGCACAUUGAUUGACCUCAGGGAAAAAGCUCUGUCUUUUUUCCCCCAGUCAUACACCUACAAAGCCCCAGUGCAAGGCCAGCAGAGUGCAUUGAGGUAGUUCACAUGAAAACAGUAACACUUGUUUGUUUUGCACUUCAAGGUGCAGAAAAUCCUUGGCAGCUGGGCCUGGGGGCCUGGGCAGCUCAGAAGAGUGAAGAUGUUCUCUUGACUCUGGGACUGGCUGUUCCAGUGGUUUAUGGUCUUGCCUCUCAGAUAAUUGAUAUCAGGGAGGCUUCUGAGAAGCAGGAGGGAGGACAGGACAUGAACUCCCCUCUGGACAGUUCUGCCAUGUGUCCAGCUAGGCUCAGCUGCCGGAGGGGGUUGGGUCUAGUUCCUGGCUCCUCUGGUGCAGAGUGAAGGGAGAUGGAAGGGAGGAAGGCGUUGCUCAACAAGGAAGAGCCCAGCUCUGGCCAGGCCUUGGCCAGGUGCUAAGGAAGGAGAUGGGCUCCUGCCCUUGCCAGUUCCUUCAGUCUGGUCUGGGAUUUGGAUGUUUGGGAUGACAAUCCCAUAUCUUGAGUACUAGAUGUGACAGGUUAAGACUGAGGCUUUAAUCAUUUUAAGAAAUGGGCUUUUCCUGUCUGUGUGGUGAUAGAGGGUGACAUUUAAUAAUGUUGAAGGGAACAUAGAGGCUCAGCUUUCCUGUGGUGAAGCCAGGCUUGAUCCACUGUGAAUAAGGCAAGAGAGAUUCAAACUGAAACAUGGUACAUUUAAGUUAAACACAGGGAUGAGCUUUCUCCAGGGGCCAUUCAAAAUAGUCCAGAUUCUCCUGGCUUAGAAGGACCAGCACACGUCUCAAUGGAAUGGUCAAAGUCUUCCUACAAUCUGGCCCCACUAACCCUCUGCAAUCUGGGCCUCUAAGCCAGGCUCACUUCUUAUCCUGCCUCACUCUAGAAUGUUCACUGUUCUGGUCCCUGAUUCUCUAUAUCCUACUCAUCUGGAGGCUAAGUUAUGUGCCCUCUUCCAAGAAGCUCUUUUUUUUUUUUUUUCCAGACAGGGUCUCACUCUGUCACCCAGGCUGGAGUGCAGCAACACAAUCAUGGCUCACUGCAGCCUCGAUCUGCUGGGCUCUGGUGAUCCUCGCUCCUCAACCUCCUGAGUAGCUGGGACUGAAAGCGUAUACCACCGUGCCUAGCUAACUUUUUUUUAGAAUUUUUUUGUAGAGAUGGAGUCUCACUAUGUUGUCCAGGCUGGUCUUCAAAUCCCGGCCUCAAGUGAUCCUCCUACCUCAGCCUCCCAGAGAGUUGGGAUUACAGGGAUGAGCCGUCAUGCCUGGCCUCCAAGAAGCUCUUAACAGCAGACACUGUUGGUUAUCUGUUAGGCAACCACUCCCCAUAUCAGUUCAGAUGAUGUUCAACAAUAGUUCAGAUGAGAGUAACAACAACAACAACAACACAGCAAACAGUGAUGGCAUAAACCAACGAGAAAUUAUGUCCCUUUCUCUCUCAAGAAGUUGGGAGGUUGGCAGUCCGGGGGCUGCUAGAGCACUCCAUGGUGCCAGGCGCUCAGGGUCCUUCUAGCUCUGGCAUCUGUCAUCUUUAGGGUGUGGUCUAAGGUGGUUUUCAUGUUCCGUGGAACAAGCCAGAUGGAGAGGACAUUGAGAAAGGUCAAAGAGGACGAGCUAGCAGCCCUGUAAAGCAGGCUUUGGGAACAGCUCUCAACUACCUCAUUGGCUAUUGGCUCAAAUACCUCAUCUCAUUGGCUAGAAUUUGGUGCCUCACUUCCCCCCCGAUGCAAGGGAGGCUGGGAAGUACAAUCUGCAUCAUACAAGAAGCACUGUCAAAUAAAUAAUCCUUGUACAGGUGUUACAGACAUAGUCUAAGGAUGAGUCAAAUCCUUGGCUUGGCUUCGUAGCCUUGAGAGGCUUUAAAAAGUCUAAUCUGAGAUUCCUU